rnacentral:rRNA from 1 species
AUGUACAUGCCUAGCACAUAAUGUUAAUACAUCAGAUCUCAUUAGAACUCCACAGUUAAGCGUGCUCAGGCUAGAGUAGUAAUGGGAUGCGUGACCACCCGGGAAGUCCUAGUGUUGUACAUG